rnacentral:lncRNA from 1 species
UAAAAAAUCUUCUCCUUUGAAACUGCUGUAUCAAUUUCAGCCAAACUUAGGCUAAAUGAGUUUCAGAGUAUCUAGUAUAAAUUUUAUAUUUUAUUUCCUUGUAUGUCAAGAAACAUAGCUCCUAUGGCUAAAAUAGAACAUAGGAGAAAAUGAUUAUUUUUUUUGGCUUUUGAAGAAAAAAGGACGAUCCAAAAAACAUUUAAAUAAAUUGAAAAGCCAAAAUAAUCAUUGAUGAGAGAUUUAACCAAAAGAAUUAAGGUGAGC